UCAACCUACGGGGGGCAGCAGUGAGGGAUAUUGGUCAAUGGGGGAAACCCUGAACCAGCAACGCCGCGUGAGGGAAGACGGUUUUCGGAUUGUAAACCUCUGUCCUCUGUGAAGAUAAUGACGGUACCUGACUAAGAAGCCCCGGCUAACUACGUGCCAGCAGCCGCGGUAAUACGUAGGGGGCAAGCGUUAUCCGGAUUUACUGGGUGUAAAGGGAGCGUAGACGGUUGUGCAAGUCUGAAGUGAAAGCCCGCGGCUCAACUGCGGAACGGCUUUGGAAACUGUGUAACUGGAGUGCUGGAGAG
rnacentral:rRNA from 1 species